UAGGAUGUAGCUCAGUGGUAGAGCACUUGCCUAACAUAAGCAAGGCCCUGGAUUCAAUUUCCAGUACUAA
rnacentral:tRNA from 1 species